rnacentral:rRNA from 1 species
GAUGAACGCUGGCGGCGUGCCUAAUACAUGCAAGUCGAGCGAAUGGAUUAAGAGCUUGCUCUUAUGAAGUUAGCGGCGGACGGGUGAGUAACACGUGGGUAACCUGCCCAUAAGACUGGGAUAACUCCGGGAAACCGGGGCUAAUACCGGAUAACAUUUUGAACCGCAUGGUUCGAAAUUGAAAGGCGGCUUCGGCUGUCACUUAUGGAUGGACCCGCGUCGCAUUAGCUAGGUGGUGAGGUAAUGGCUCACCAAGGCAACGAUGCGUAGCCGACCUGGGAGGGGGAUCGGCCACACUGGGACUGAGAAACGGCCCAGACUCCUACGGGAGGCAGCAGUAGGGAAUCUUCCGCAAUGGACGAAAGUCUGACGGAGCAACGCCGCGUGAGUGAUGAAGGCUUUCGGGUCGUAAAACUCUGUUGUUAGGGAAGAACAAGUGCUAGUUGAAUAAGCUGGCACCUUGACGGUACCUAACCAGAAAGCCACGGCUAACUACGUGCCAGCCGCCGCUGUAA